rnacentral:rRNA from 1 species
AUGUCCGAGAUCACUGAGGUCCGAGGGGGAGGGGCCGUUCCGUGCUUGCGCCCCGGUACACAGCUCAGUGCGUGGGGAAGCCCCUGUUUUCUGGAAGCCCCGUGGAGCAUGGAAGGCAAGCUGGAGAUGCAUAUCUCCCUCGACCUUACGCGGAGGGCAGCAACUAGAGGUUCAAACCACUCAAAACAUGUGAGAUUUGAGCGUAAUAAUGGGAUUCACCAGCGUCACAGCAGCACUGGCAUGGAUGAUGCCAGCUGUUGUGGCAACCAGCCCAGGAGUGAGCUCGCGCUGCAUGCACGCCAGUGGCCAGCACGACUACUACCUCAUCUCCCUCCUGCAUGA